AACUCGGUAGCCCAACUGGCAGAGGCGGUAGACUUAGGAUCUACUUGUUGUGGGUUCGACUCCCACCCGGGUUA
rnacentral:tRNA from 2 species